rnacentral:rRNA from 1 species
UCAAGCGAAUAAGAGCGCAGGGUGGAUGCCUUGGCACUAAGAGCCGAAGAAAGACGUGAUAAGCUGCGAUAAGCUACGGUGAGGAGCAAAUAUCCAUUGACCCGUAGAUUUCUGAAUGGGGAAACCCGGCAGGAGAAACUCCUGUCACUGUAUGGUGAAUACAUAGCCAUAUAGAGGGAACCCGGUGAACUGAAACAUCUAAGUAGCCGGAGGAAGAGAAAACAACAGUGAUUUCCUAAGUAGCGGCGAGCGAACGGGAAAGAGCCCAAACCGGAUUGCGUGCAAUCCGGGGUUCGGACUGCAUACGUCAUUGUAAAAGGAUAACAGAAUGGUUUUGGGAAAGCCAGCCAGAGAGGGUGAAAGCCCCGUACGUGAAAUCUGAUUACAGGCAGCAGGAUCCAGAGUACCACGAGACACGUGGAACCUUGUGGGAACAAGCGGGGACCACCCCGUAAGGCUAAAUACUCCUUAGUGACCGAUAGCGCAUAGUACUGUGAAGGAAAGGUGAAAAGAACCCCGGGAGGGGAGUGAAAGAGAACCUGAAACCCUGUGUUUACAAGCUGUGGAACCACCAUAUGAGUGGAACCGCGUACUUUUUGUAGAACGGUCCGGCGAGUUAUGGUUGCUGGCAAGGUUAAGGACGAAAAGUCCGGAGCCGAAGGGAAACCGAGUCUUAAUAGGGCGCCAAGUCAGCAGACAUAGACCCGAAACCGGGUGACCUACCCAUGUCCAGGUUGAAGCCGCUGUAAAAGGCGGUGGAGGACCGAACGCACAUCUGUUGAAAAAGGUGGCGAUGAGGUGUGGGUAGCGGAGAAAUUCCAAUCGAACUCGGAGAUAGCUGGUUCUCCCCGAAAUAGCUUUAGGGCUAGCCUUGAGUUAGACAUAUGGAGGUAGAGCACUGAAUGGCCGCGGGGGCGUCAAAGCUUACCAAAGCCUAUCAAACUCCGAAUGCCAUGUUGCCGAUGCUCAGGAGUCAGACUGCACGAGAUAAGUUGGGUAGUCGAGAGGGAAACAGCCCAGACCUACAGCUAAGGUCCCAAAGUACAUGUUAAGUGGAAAAGGAUGUGGGACUUCGAAGACAACUAGGAUGUUGGCUCAGAAGCAGCCAUACAUUCAAAGAGUGCGUAAUAGCUCACUAGUCGAGAGGUCCUGCGCCGAAAAUGUCCGGGGCUAAAACACGACACCGAAGCUUAGGACUCCUUUAAGGAGUGGUAGAGGAGCAUUGUUAGCGCAGCGAAGCUGUACCGAUAAGGAGCAGUGGAGUGCUAAGAAGAGAGAAUGCCGGAAUGAGUAGCGAGAGGAAGGUGAGAAUCCUUCCGGCCGAAUAUCCAAGGUUUCCAGAGUAAAGCUGAUCUGCUCUGGGUAAGUCGGGGCCUAAGGCGAGGUCGAAAGACGUAGUCGAUGGAUAACAGGUGGAGAUUCCUGUACUAUGUGUACCCAGAACUGUGGGGACGCAUGUGGAGAGCAUGAGCCGGGAAAGAGAAAACCGGUACAAGCGGGGUAGGAGUAAGGACAGCAAAUCUUCCUUACAAUCCGAAGACGUGAUGUGGACCGAACCAAAGUAGGGAAGCAUGUGAGCCAUGUGCCAAGAAAAGCCGCUAUAGUGAUACACAUACCCGUACCGUAAACCGACACAGGUGGAUGAGGAGAGAAUCCUAAGGCCGACGGAAGAAGCAUUGUUAAGGAACUCGGCAAAAUGACCCCGUAACUUCGGGAGAAGGGGUGCCCUGUGAAAGCAGGGCCGCAGAGAAUAGGCUCAAGCAACUGUUUAGCAAAAACACAGGUCUAUGCGAAACCGAAAGGUGAGGUAUAUGGGCUGACGCCUGCCCGGUGCUGGAAGGUUAAGAGGAGAAGUCAGGCAACGAAGCUUCGAAUUUAAGCCCCAGUAAACGGCGGCCGUAACUAUAACGGUCCUAAGGUAGCGAAAUUCCUUGUCGGGUAAGUUCCG